GGAAAGGAUACAACUUUCUUACUCUUUUCACAUAAGUGGAUGACAUUUUCAGGCAAAAGAAUUCCUCCAGAGUGGAUUAAGCCUGGUAAAUCGAGGGUUUUCAUGCAAGGAACCUUUAAAGUUUGGAAGAAGAAGAAGAAAUCAUCUGUAACUUUUUUAUUUUCUGCCAGAAUUGGAUGCAAAUUGCAGGCAUGUUUGCCUCUUCGCCUCUUCUGAAGGGAAUGACGCUUGCCAAAUUAAAAAGACCUUCUUCAAAAAGCAGGGAGAUGGCCAACUGAGGAGCCCAGGGAUGCUGCCUGCAGGCCACAUGUGACUGAAAAAGGUAUAGGAGUAUGGUUGAAAGAAUAUGUGUGUCUGUGGAAGAGAAGGGCAGAAACAGAGCAAUGACAGAUGGUCAGACACCAUGGAUAUGUGCUGGUUGGAAAGAUCAAGCUGAAAAUGGCAAGUAAAAUGAGAUAAUCACACUGGGCCCAAUGGCCUGGGCUCUGCUCUCAUCACUUAUUCAGAACAGGACCUCCUGCUGAUUGACAAGAAAGAAUAGGGUGUACUUAUCUGAAAGGAAUCAUUUCACACAGUAUGUAGUUACCAACUGAGCAGACAAAUGUUGAAAUCAGAACUCUCUCUCUCUUCCUAGCCAAACACCUUUUCUAAUAUUCUCGCCAUUGAACAUGUGCCAUUUUUGA